UGUGGGCACAUGUACAUGUGUGUAUACGCAUGUGUGCAUAUACACACACACAAACACAUAUACAC
rnacentral:miRNA from 1 species